CUGCUGAGCACUCUGUCAGGUCUGUGACAGUCAACAGCAAAUAAGGAUCUGUAACGCAGAGCACAAGUUGUCAUUAUCAACUGAGACAUUCCAUCCAAAAACAGAUGGAGAUGCCACUCCUUGUUUUACAAAAUGCACAUUGAGAAGAGCUGGGUUCUAGUCACGCCCUCAAAAGAUGGAAGCACAGACCAAGGUGUGUAACCUCUCCAGGCUACUUCUGUCCUGAGCUGCAGCAGUCUCUGAGAGGAACUGACUGGGGCUGGGAGCUGCCCCUUUCCUGGAGAGCUACGAGUAGGACAACCUUGCUGUCUGAGCAGCUGAGCAUCUGAAGGACAGCAAGGAACAUUCCCACCACUGGGAAGGAAGAGCAGGGAGAACACAAAGAGCAAGGCCUUACAAAAGGCCCAAGAAAAGCCUGCUGAAGGAGUCAGAGAACUAGUUCUGCAGAUUCCUAAAGGCAACAUACUGAAACUGAGUCUAGAGGACAUCACUGAUGUGCCUACAUGUAGGGGGUUUGUAAGGAUAUUCGAUUCUAUCUUGCCUCUGGCAAUUUGAAUUUUAUCUGUCCUAAAAUGCUGGUGAUCAUCUGCCCUAAUGUAACCAUUCCCAGUGUCUAAAGACAACAAAUAAAAAAUAUGUGUAAAUACAACUCCUAAUUUUAUAUGACCUUUUGGUCUUAUACAUGUGCUUGCAGUUUUGUCACAAAACUUUUAAAACUUCUAGUUGUGAAAAUAAUUUUAAAAUCUUGUUAGAAGUUUGAAACUGAUGGAAGAUUAAAGGUUAUGGUACUAAAUUAUAAUGAAAAUCCAAAUAUAUACUUUCAAAGAGAAAUAUGCUUAGCGUUUGCUGCCAUUACUUUCAGCAUUAAGUUUUGGUAUGAAGAGCCUCUGAUGCCUGCCAAGUUUUUAUAGACAACCUGCUGUUUGCAAACCAAAGCAAGAAAUGUCCCAUUUCCUGACCUUUGCCUUUGUUUUUAGUUCUCACACACAAAAUAUUUGGUUUGUGAGAGAAAUUUUUAAUAUUCACUAUCAGGCUUAGAUUCUUUCACAGUUAAUGUAUGACUUUCAACUUAAUCUUCUUGAUUUUCUUUAAUUUUUUUUUUGGUGUUUUUCUUGAAUAUGUGUUAUAGUAUAAUUCAGCUGACUUCCUUUAAAAGUACUAAAUAAAAUAGUCAUAUAAAUCUGAAAGAGAUUUUCCUCUUGUGCCAUUUUCUAGUAUUUUAUUUUUAUAAGUAACUCAGCUGUGUGUUGCCAUCAAAUACUAGGGUCAAACUAAACCACAAUAUUUUAAAUAGGAAUUUAGUCAGUACACACAUAUAUAAAAUGUGAUUCUAGUACACUAUUCAGUGUUUUUAAAAGAAAUGACUGAUAAAAUAAUAGUUUGUUCUGUUCCAAGUGUUCAUUCCUGCUGGUGAUUUGCUCCACAUCACAGCUGCUAAUAAUCAGGCUGCUGGAAUAAAGGCUACUGUACCCUUUGCACAGUAUUUACUCUUUAGGAGAACUGUAAUGUUUUAACAAUGUUCUACUACUUGCUGGUUUGUGAUCUACACAAAAGUAUUAAAUUGAUUUAAUAGCAGAGAUUUAUGAUAGCUAACCUGUAAUUACAACCUCAUUACUUUCAUAG